AUGGGCUAUCGUCUAAUGGCAGGACAACAAACUCUGGAUUUGUGAAUAUAGGUUCGACCCCUAUUAGCCCAUCCAC
rnacentral:tRNA from 1 species